rnacentral:rRNA from 1 species
UGCGUAGGUGGCCUUUUAAGUUGGAUGUGAAAUACCCGGGCUUAACUUGGGGGUGCAUCUAAUACUGGAAGGCUAGAGUGCAGGAGAGGAAAGCGGAAUUCCUAGUGUAGCGGUGAAAUGCGUAGAUAUUAGGAGGAACACCAGUGGCGAAGGCGGCUUUCUGGACUGUAACUGACACUGAGGCACGAAAGCGUGGGGAGCAAACAG